UUUAAUUUUAUAUGAUGAAAGGGGAGCUCUUAGCAGAAUACAGGAGAAACCCUUCCAUGACAAUCUCCCUAUGAGGAUACAGAACAACGAUGUGUACAGGAUCCUAUGUGUGAAUCAUUAGCCCACACACAUAUAAGGUCAAAUCGUGGGCCCCCAGAUUUGGUGUGGAGCUUAAGGGAGAUGAACAGUCUGGCCUUCAGAGACAUUUCUGGAUCCUGAAGAGCUACAGUGGACAACUCUAGGGAUUGUACUGGCACAUAUGACUAGGAAGGACUGAAGUCAGAAGACAGCCAUUGAAGAGUGGUAAAUAAAGUCA